AACACGAGUUUGCAAUUCAGUAUCAUUCACACCUUGUGAAAAAAAUAAUCCAACGAUUGAAAGAGUUUUAAGUUUCGGUUGAUCACUAAAAAUGGUAUAUGUAAUAAGUGUUUACUUGACUUGAUUUUUUUUAUGUGUUACUAUUCAAACAUCCAUAAUUCCAGUGGCAGGACAUUAAACAAUUUGUAAAAUUGGUGAUUCUUUUUGACCUUGGUUUUGGAACCAUAAAUAUCAUUGCAAUGAUAUCAGUUGGUUGAAGGGCUACAUCAAUACUGCCCUCCUGAAAAGGUGCUCCACAUAAUAUGGCUUGUGGACUAUCCCCGUCUUGUUCCUCAAGUUUCAUUUCCCAAACUCUGGCGAAUUCCACUAAAAUAUUGUAAUCACUACCAAUUGUUUUGUCUUAAAAGAUCUUUAAAAUUAGUAUUUGCUUUGAUUGGUGUUUUUUGAAUAAAGUGAAUGAAACUUA